GAAUGUAAGUCUGUUACUCGGGAGGAAUUUGAAUCAUUGUGUUUUUCAUACAUGCAUGAAAAAGAGAACUGAUGCUUUGCAACCUCUCUUUCAGCACCAUGUUCUGUUUGACCUAAUCCUGUCCAGGACCAGGAAAUGUAGCUGCCAGUAACUUCCUCUGGAUGAUAUUCAAGUGUUUUGGAAUAGUAUAUAUGAAAUAAGAUCAGCAAGAUUGAAUGUGAAUCCGGAUUACAGGUCAACGUCAGGAGAUUUCUGUGUUAUUGGAGGGACUCAUCAAUGUUAGAAACAGCAAACUGAUCUAGGCAGAAAGAAAAAGCCAGCUGAUGCUGAGAGAAGAGGUAAUUCCUACGGCUCUGGAAGACUGCUGCA